AUUCAGAAGAGGAGGCACCUAUGGAAGGGCAAAAACAUUUCACAUGGAAUCUAAAUUUUCAACAAUUUGUCUAAAGUUGAGUCUGUCCCAUAGAUGUUUGAAGCAAAGCAAGAAUAACGUCCGGUGUCUUCUUCAAAAGCUUCAACUAUAAUCAAUGAGUGCAGAUCUCCUGACUGGAUAAUGUGAAUGUCUGACCUGAAGAGGAAGGAUGCAUUCCUGUAGAAAUAUGAGCACAAUGGAUGGUCACAUGAGGAGAUACAAGUUGAAAAAUGACUCGAUAAGACCAAACCCUGUCAUCUCCUGCAGUGAAAUAAAGGAUUUUGGUUUGGCCUGGUUAUGUCAUGGGGAUUUCCCCUUCAUUUUUCUCAUCAGAAUGUUGGAACAGCCAAAGAAGAGUUUGCCCUACACAAUCUAUUCCAUGCAUCAUGGUGAACCCAAUGCAUAGCGGGAUAGAAGUUUGGGAGUUUAGUCAGUGAUGUGUGAGAUAUCCAUACGGUGCUGAUGUGAUCAAUAAAGCUUAUACAGAGUUAUGCAUAUCUCUAUUUAGACUCUGUGACUUGACACCCCUCCCCCCAUCCCCAGUAAAACGCUACUCAACAGAGACGGUCUCUAGCAGGGACACAAUAGACUAGAUUUUCUCAGGUAAAUCAAAGCACCAAAACCUUAGUCAAAUUUUGUAGUGGAGAUUGGAAAAGAGAGCAUCU